GAGGUCUCGUUGAACAUAAACGGAGGAGAAAUAUUUGCAGCUCACUGGGGCUGGAUUCUCACUGCUGCUGCAGGCUUAAAAUGUUUUUCCUUUGCACAAACCAGCACUAGGAGAGUGCCUGUAAAUUUUACCACAGCAUUUCUCUCUCUCCCCCACCCCUGUAAUUCUUGGGAUUUUAUACACGGUCGGUGGAUUGGAGGGAACAGCUAAGUAACUGCAGAAUUUGGCCCUCUCCCUGCAAGUAUCUUCAAAAUGCCCACAGCCAAGCUAUGAUGUCAUGCCUGGAAAAAGUGAACACAUCACAGCCCAAUCUUGGACACGUUUGUUGUUGCAACCCCAUUCUGGUUAUACGGUAGCACCUCAGAGUUACGAGCUGACCGGUCAACCACACACCUCGUUUGGAACUGGAAGUACGCAAUCAGGCAGCAGCAGAGACAAAAAAAAAAAAGCACAAAUACAGUUUCCUGCUGCCGUAAUUGGCUACCCUACUGCAGUCAUUGGUGGCCCUUGAUGACAAAAUCUGGUUCCUGGGUGUGUGUCCUUGGACUAUAAUCACUCUGAAGGAAGAGGGAGAAGUCAGCACCCCAACAAAAACCCAGACAGCCUCUUCAGGUGUCAAUCAGGACCAACUCGAAUGACGUGAGCAGACUUACAAUGCUGUAAGCCCGGUGUGCGUUAGGGGAGGAUUGGACCCCA